AAGUAUAAUAAUAGGCAGUAUUUAGGCAAGCUCCACUGAUCUCAAAAAGCUAAGGAGAAUUAGUUCUGGUCAUUAUUUGGAUGGGAGACCAUAGGAAAUCCACAGGGUUGUACAUU
rnacentral:rRNA from 1 species